CUUGUACUCCCUCCAUCCGAAAAUACUUGUCAUUGAAAUGGAUGUAUCUAGAUGUAUUUUAGUUCUAGACACAUCCAUUUUUGUGACAAGUAAUUCCGGAUGGAGGGAGUACUUG
rnacentral:pre_miRNA from 1 species